GGGAAUUUUCCGCAAUGGGCGAAAGCCUGACGGAGCAAUACCGCGUGAGGGAUGACGGCCUAUGGGUUGUAAACCUCUUUUUUCAGGGAGGAAUAAAUGACGUGUACCUGAAGAAUAAGCAUCGGCUAACUCCGUGCCAGCAGCCGCGGUAAGACGGAGGAUGCAAGUGUUAUCCGGAAUCACUGGGCGUAAAGCGUCUGUAGGUGGUUUGAUAAGUCAACUGUUAAAUCUUGAGGCUCAACCUCAAAAUGGCAGUCGAAACUAUUAGACUAGAGUAUAGUAGGGGUAAAGGGAAUUUCCAGUGGAGCGGUGAAAUGCGUAGAGAUUGGAAAGAACACCGAUGGCGAAGGCACUUUACUGGGCUAUUACUAACACUCAGAGACGAAAGCUAGGGUAGCAAAUGGGAUUAGAUACCCCAGUAGUCA
rnacentral:rRNA from 1 species